AGUUGCUCAGCCGUGUCUGACUGUUAGCGACCCCAUGGACUGCAGCCUACGAGGCUCCCCCGUCCAUGGGAUUUUCCAGGCAAGAGUACUGGAGUGGGGUGCCAUCGCCUUCUCCGGAACCUGCUGCUUACUCGUCAUUCUUUUGGAACCCUGAUAUUCUUAACUUUCCGAACCUGUUCUUUUCCCAACCUGUUUUUCUAAUCCAUUUUUUCCUCCGUUUGCCUUCUGAACCAUUUAGCUAUUUACCCCCUACUUGUUUUUUUGCUCUUCUUUGAGUAUGAACUCAGUGGCAGCAGCUGUGGAAGUCCUGGAGGUCAGCCCUUCCCAGAAUUCCCUCCCUCUCGUCUUCGUUUCUCUAGGCGGGAUCUCUGUAUCUCCUCUGAGCGUACAGCUUCAAACGGGCUGGAGGCCGUAUUAUGCUAAAUCAAGGAUACAGGGAGAUAAUUAACAUAGCAACUCUGGCAAGUUUAAUAGAUUCAGUAAAAUACUUUUGAGGAGUCAAUUAUUGAAUGGUUUGUAGUCUAAUAAUAAAGUAAGCUGGGAUGGUUAGGGAAACAUAAAAAGCAAAAACAAAACUAAACAACAACAACAACAAAGCGAACAAAACUUGGCAUGAGCUUCAGGGAGACAUUCUUACGGUAUUUUUGACACGGUAUUGAUGUUUAUAAAAUUUUGUCUAAUGUAUUUUAAAGAUCAUCUUUAUUUGCAAAAGUGGAACAUGCUUACUAUGGGACACUUAGAUCAUAUAAACUAAAGAGAAUAUUAAAAAAUAAAUGCAGUUUUUAUUUUUAAUGAACAUAUAUUGUCCCUGAUUUACAAAGAUGUGGUAUUCAAGAGGAGAGUACCAGUGCGUGUUUUUCCUUUACUAGAAAGUCACGAUUAAUUGACUGUCAUCCAUUCCAGAAUUCUUGUAUACCCCCACACUUUUUGAACUAAAGAAGAAAAGGUUGUCUGGAUGAAUCCCAAAUAACUUCACAUUUAGGGAAACACACCUCUGGUGUUAAAGAAGAUAAAUUUUCAGAGAAAUGGGGGAGUUGGCUAAGGGUUUGAAUUGGCCUUGAAGGCAAGAUGGGCCAGUUGCUUGCCAUUUAUAUAUCGGUUGACUAAUUCUGUUUGAGAUAAGAUGAGAUGCUUUUUAUAGUUAUGCUUGUACUGGAAAAAGAAGCGCUUAAGAGGGGUAUAGGAUCACCUGCAAAGAAUUUUCAUGCCGGCGCCUGAAUGGUGGAAACGUGGGAUAGUAUUCCUUGAGGUCGGGUGGCAUAAAAGAGCAUCCACCAGUGCACCUGAGACCUGACCUUCUCUGCUGCUGCUGCUGUCAGCCCCGCUGUCUCAGGCACAUCACUUAUUCUGUUGGUGAAAUAGCUAAUAUGGGAACUGUUUCCCAAAACUUGUUUUUCCUCCUGUGCUGGGGGAAAAAGUCCAUAAAAAGGUAUCUAUAGCUCAGAAUUGAGCACUAUUCCAAUAUCCAGGGAUCCCUGUGAUUUAUAUUCAUGCACCCAGUUAAGUGGAUGGUUGAAAGAGAAAUGGUAACUUGCUUUUGGAGGGAUCGACUCUAAUUGGCCCACGAAGAAUAGCUCUUGGAUUCCCAACAUUCUUAAAACCAACAGGCAUUUUCUUUUCCUGUUCAAGAACUGCUGCAUUUAUUGAAGUCUAUCUUUAGACUCUUGAUGUAAUUUCUGAAUCGCCAACCAUUUUGUAGACCACAACAUAGUUAAAAAUAAAGUAAGAAAUAUUGACCAAGACUCCUGAAGCCUGCAAGUGAAACAAAGCUACCACAGCAGAGGUUUACUAUGGAAUCUCUCUCCUGCAGUUCUUGCACUUUGAAAAUGACAUGAUCUAUCCCAAGGAAUAACUUAAAGCCUGAUCCACUUAAAGAGCUGCAAGUGAUUUAUCAGAAAUGUGCUUAUUUGGAAGGUUUAGCAAGACUGCUUAUGGGAGGUUGUGGGGUUAACUACCAAAAUUGUGCAUAACUUGGAUCCUGUGUAUGGCAAUUAAUCAAGAAAUUAUAUUCUUUGACUUUCUAACAACCCACACAGAGUGCUACAUCUGUGGCGUGUUUAAAUAGAGAGAGAGAGAGAUGAAAUAUUUCUUCUAAUAAAAUGCUAAUGGUUUUUGUUUUGAAGAAAAAUAUUGAAUUAUUGGGGUGUUAGAUUUAUCUGUAGGAGGGUUUCUCAAGUCACAGUCAAUAAGGACUUAGGACAGAAAACCAGCUACUUCAUGAAGAUGAUUUUCCAUUCACUUAAGUGACUUCAGGGUGAUGGUGAGAGCCCUUUGUGAUGAGGAGGUGAGAGCAGAGGAAUAAACAUGGUUACAGGGAAGGAUAGCGUCCCAGGCCAUUACUGUGGGCAUUUCUCAACUUUUCAAGCAUAUUAUUUAACCAGCAGCCUGUGGGCAUAUGUUACUAAAGACAGGUAAGACCCUCCCAUUAUUGCUGGUGUUCUUCUGCAGAUGUAACUUUCACUUAGUUACUCUGGGACCUGAGUGUUCACAGCAGGGUUUUUGUUGGUGGACACCUCCUCGGCUUCAGAACCCAGAACUAACAGCUCUCCUUGAGGCUAAGUUUCACAUAUUCAAUUUCUGGAAAUUCAAAAGAGGUACCAUCCUCGUAAAAAGAAAAAGGUUUUGGCAACCAGAAUGGUUUCGUAAAUGUCUUUUUCACUUCUGGGUCCUUAGUGAUGUGGUUCAAGUGGUUUUUAAAUUUUAUUUUUCAAUCAUUAGCUUUUUAAAAAUUAAAAAAAAAAAACAUUCACGAGACAUCUCUUUUGUACUGAUGCUGGGCAGGAGACAGGAAGCUGCAAUAGCAGCUGACUCUGACUUACCUAUGAAAUCAGGAUUUCAUAGCACAGCAAAACAGAAUCAAGAGAAAUAUUUAUGGUCUGGUAGAUGCAACAGUAACAAAAAAAGCCUGGUGCUGGAUGCUUACUGAGUGCCCGGUAUCAUUAGUCUCUUACAGACAAGGGAGCUGUGGCUUGGAGGUAGGGUAGAUCAUGUAGUUAAUAAGAGGAGGGACCAGCAUUUAAAGAUCUGUAUGGUUCGGGUUUCCUCUUCUUUAUCCUCUACUCACUUCCUACAGUAGAAGUGUAUAUACAAAGCAGUACCCUAGGUCAUGGCUGAAUUGUGUAGUGUGUUGUUACAUGUCAGGUUUUUGCACCCACUGCUUCAUGUAAACCUCACAGUAAUGCUAUGCAUUAGAUACUGUUAUUAUCCCCCAUUUAUAGAUUAGCAAACUGAGGCUCUGAGAGGUUAAGCAACUUGACUAAGGUUGAGCAGAUAGCAUCCGAGAAACAAUCUGACUCUAGAUUCUUAACCACUACACUUGACUGAUGUGAGAUCAAGGGAGAGAUUGUUUCUGCUUGGGGAGGUGGAUAGGUAUUAGGACCAGAAAAGGUAUAAGGCAAUCAGAGAAAGUGAGAGACAUGCCCUUGAUCAGGACUUGAAAGAUGGUAAGACUUAAUCUGACUUCCCUCAAGUUGGAGUCAAUUGGAGGAUGCAUUUUUGAACCUUUCAGAAAUUUCUUUGAAAGCUCUGUAGAUCUAAAUUUUAGUGAAAAGCUAUUUGAUUUCCUUGCAUUGUGAAACUCCAACAUAAUGUCUGGGAAUUCAGACUUAUAAAACGUGGAUAGAGGUGAUUUUUUUUUCUUUUGAAAUAAUUGUAGAUAUAUAAGAAGUUGUAAAAAAACA